rnacentral:rRNA from 1 species
UUCCGGUUGAUCCUGCCGGACCUGACUGCUAUCGGAUUGAUACUAAGCCAUGCGAGUUUUUGCAGUAAUGCAAGGCAUACGGCUCAGUAACACGUAGUCAACUUACCCUAUGGACGAGGAUAAUCUCGGGAAACUGAGCAUAAUACUCGAUAGAUCAUAAUGCCUGGAAUGGUUUAUGGUUAAAAUGAUUCGUCGCCAUAGGAUGGGACUGCGGCCUAUCAGCUUGUUGGUGAGGUAAUGGCCCACCAAGGCGAUUACAGGUACGGGCUCUGAGAGGAGAAGCCCGGAGAUGGGUACUGAGACAAGGACCCAGGCCCUAUGGGGCGCAGCAGGCGAGAAAACUUUGCAAUGUGCGAAAGCACGACAAGGUUAAUCCGAGUGAUUUCUGCUAAAGAAAUCUUUUGCAAGUCAUAAAACCACUAGUGAAUAAGGGGUGGGCAAGUUCUGGUGUCAGCCGCCGCGGUAAAACCAGCACCUCAAGUGGUCAGGAUGAUUAUUGGGCCUAAAGCAUCCGUAGCCGGCUCUGUAAGUUUUCGGUUAAAUCCACGUGCUCAACACAUGGGCUGCCGAAAAUACUGCACAGCUAGGGAGUGGGAGAGGUAGACGGUACUCAAUAGGAAGGGGUAAAAUCCUUUGAUCUAUUGAUGACCACCUGUGGCGAAGGCGGUCUACCAGAACACGUUCGACGGUGAGGGAUGAAAGCUGGGGGAGCAAACCGGAUUAGAUACCCGGGUAGUCCCAGCUGUAAACGAUGCAGACUCGAUGAUGCAUUGGCAUAUAGCCAGUGCAGUGUCGCAGGGAAGCCGUUAAGUCUGCCGCCUGGGAAGUACGUACGCAAGUAUGAAACUUAAAGGAAUUGGCGGGGGAGCACCACAAGGGGUGAAGCCUGCGGUUCAAUUGGAUUCAACGCCGGAA